rnacentral:rRNA from 1 species
GACCUCUGGUGAUCAUAGCGCAGUGGCCCCACCCGUUCCCAUUCCGAACACGGAAGUGAAACGCUGCAGCCCCGAUGGUAGUGCAUCUAUAGGUUGUGCGAGAGUAGGACGUCGCCAGAAUUGA